CUGUGUAUAAGGCACUUGUUAACUUUCUCCCGCCCCUCAGGAUGCGUCACUGGAGGUGCUGAUACCAAGAUCAAUAAGGAUCGAGGUCAAGAAGGCACACCCAUUUCUGGAGAGUUGCUUGAUUUGGAUCUGCAUGGUCUGGUUUCUGAAACAGGAUUCCAACACAGUAGUCUUUAGGACCUCAGAAGCUGCUUCCUCCUCAUGACCCCAUACUAGUUCCCUCCUCCC